GAUGAAGAACGCAGCGAAAUGCGAUACGUAAUGUGAAUUGCAGAAUUCAGUGAAUCAUCGAGUCUUUGAACGCACAUUGCGCCCCCUGGUAUUCCGGGGGGCAUGCCUGUCCGAGCGUCAUUGCUGCCCUCAAGCACGGCUUGUGUGUUGGGCCUCCGUCCUCCUCCCGGGGGACGGGCCCGAAAGGCAGCGGCGGCACCGCGUCCGGUCCUCGAGCGUAUGGGGCUUCGUCACCCGCUCUUGUAGGCCCGGCCGGCGCUUGCCGACACAUCAAUCUUUUUUCCAGCUUGACCUCGGAUCAGGUAGGGAUACCCGCUGAACUUAAGCAUAUCAAUAAGCGGAGGA
rnacentral:misc_RNA from 1 species